rnacentral:rRNA from 1 species
CGUGACGGCGCGAGCAGGUGCGAAAGCAGGUCAUAGUGAUCCGGUGGUUCUGAAUGGAAGGGCCAUCGCUCAACGGAUAAAAGGUACUCCGGGGAUAACAGGCUGAUACCGCCCAAGAGUUCAUAUCGACGGCGGUGUUUGGCACCUCGAUGUCGGCUCAUCACAUCCUGGGGCUGAAGUAGGUCCCAAGGGUAUGGCUGUUCGCCAUUUAAAGUGGUACGCGAGCUGGGUUUAGAACGUCGUGAGACAGUUCGGUCCCUAUCUGCCGUGGGCGCUGGAGAACUGAGGGGGGCUGCUCCUAGUACGAGAGGACCGGAGUGGACGCAUCACUGGUGUUCGGGUUGUCAUGCCAAUGGCACUGCCCGGUAGCUAAAUGCGGAAGAGAUAAGUGCUGAAAGCAUCUAAGCACGAAACUUGCCCCGAGAUGAGUUCUCCCUGACUCCCUGAGAGUCCUGAAGGAACGUUGAAGACGACGACGUUGAUAGGCCGGGUGUGUAAGCGCAGCGAUGCGUUGAGCUAACCGGUACUAAUGAACCGUGAGG